ensembl:lncRNA
GGACAGGAGAACAGCACUACUCAUUCAGUGAGUGAAUGGGGACAGGAGAACAGCACUACUCAUUCAGUGAGUGAAUGGGGACAGGAGAACAGCACUACUCAUUCAGUGAGUGAAAGGGGACAGGAGAACAGCAUUGACUAUUGAAAUCAUUUAAUGCUUUUAAAAACAAAUACAAGUUACUUCACUGGAUCAUCACAUGUGAACAAGAAUAGAUUUUUUUCCACCAAUAUUUGUAAUAACACCCUCAGACAUAUUUCCCAUUCACAUGGCUGCAUACAGACAACUUCUCUCUCUUUUUAUUUCGUUGCAGUUGAUUAUUUACAGUCAAUCUAAGGAAUGCAUCGGCUCUGUGACAAUAAUAGCUCAUAUCGGCAGCAUAUUAAAACCUUGCUGUUUGGGAUGCAAAAUUCCGGUAACUUUCCCCCAAGAUUCCCAGGUUUUCCAGACAUUCCAGUUGGAAGAUUUCUGGAAUCAGGAGGGAACAAGCAGAAUGUGAACGCGACCUACUGUGCUGGAGUGGUCAGAUUCAGGUGGAUGAUGGUGGUAACACUAAUUUAUGCAUAUCAACUCAAUCUAGCCAUCAAAGGUAGGGGUGAACAUUUCCAGUAACUUCCGCCAAAUUCCCAGAAGUCCAGACUGGAGUUACCAGAAUUUUGCAAACCUAAUCAUAGUUGAUCUGUAUUAUAUAUGUUUGCAGUCAAAAUAGGUCUGUUGUUGUGGGUUGAUAGGUCUGUUAUUGUGGGGACGAUAGGUCUAUUGUUGUGGGGAUGAUAGAUCUGUUGUUGUGGGUUGAUAGGUCUGUUGUUGUGGGGGAGAUAGGUCUGUUGUUGUGGAUUGAUAGGUCUGUUGUUGUGGGGAUGAUAGGUCUGUUGUUGUGGGUUGAUAGGUCUGUUGUUGUGGGGAGAUAGGUCUGUUGUUGUGGGUUGAUAGAUAUGUUGUUGUGGGGAGAUAGGUCUGUUGUUGUGGGGGAGAUAGGUCUGUUGUUGCGGGGAGAUAAGUCUGUUGUUGUGGGGGAGAUAGGUCUGUUGUUGUGGGGACGAUAUGUCUGUUGAUUUGUGGGUUGAUAGGUCUGUUGUUGUGGGGACAAUAGGUCUGUUGUUGUGGGUUGAUAGGUCUGUUGUUGUGGGUUGGUAGGUCUGUUGUGGGGACGAUUGGUCUGUUGUUGUGGGGAGAUUGGUAUGUUGUUGUGGGGAGAUAUGUCUGUUGUUGUGGGGACGAUUGGUCUGUUGUUGUGGGUUGAUAGGUCUGUUGUUGUGGGGACGAUAGGUCUGUUGUUGUGGGUUGAUAGGUCUGUUGUUGUGGGUUGAUAGGUCUGUUGUUGUGGGGACGAUAGGUCUGUUGUUGUGGGUUGAUAGGUCUGUUGUUGUGGGUUGAUAGGUCUGUUGUUGUGGGUUGAUAGGUCUGUUGUUGUGGGGGAGAUAGGUCUGUUGUUUUAGGGACGAUAGGUCUGUUGUUUAUUGAACAGGCAGGAGGGCCCCUAAAUAAAACCCAUCUAUAAUCUCAACUUCAAUAUUAUAUACAUUAUUUACAAUGGAAUGUUGGGCUGAAGCUUUCAGACUUAAUGCUAUUGUAUACAAAAGAGUUGAAGCCUUCAGACUUAAUGCUAUUGUAUACAAAAGAGUUGAAGCCUUCAGACUUAAUGCUAUUGUAUACAAAAGAGUUGAAGCCUUCAGACUUAAUGCUAUUGUAUACAAAAGAGUUGAAGCCUUCAGACUUAAUGCUAUUGUAUACAAAAGUAUAUUGAGGGAAUGACAAUGAAAAACAAGAUAGAGAAUAAUUUUUACAACAACCAUAAUCUAUGGAUUCAAGGACAACACCAAUACCUAAUUCUGUCAUUCUCCCAUGUUUUUUUAAUCAUUUCAGGUCAAGUAUGGCAGUGGUUCCUAAAAGGAACAAAACAUUGAUUUGUGCUUGAAAAGAAAUAUAAUUGACUUCAGUUAUGGAAAUGCUUUGGGCACUGGGACACCGUUGUGUCCUAAGGGUGUUUGAAUUAUACCAAAUCUCUCAAUUACUGUGGGAAUCAUUCUGUUUUCAACUCUGCAGACGUUCUCCAGCCAUUUAGGUGUUUUCACGGGGAAUCAAAGUGCUGGAGGGUUGAAGUGAAGAGGAAGUAACAUCUAAUGUCUCUCCUUUCUCUGUCAUGUGAUAGGACAUUAUGGAAGCUGUUUCUGACAUCACAGAGAUACAAGCUAUAUUAGGAUCAUUCCUCCUCAACUUUAACGUCAAAGAGAACUUCUCUUCUUCAUCUACGGUAAAUCAUUCUUUAUAUGCAAUAUAUUUGAACAAAACCUCACUUCUCACAAAAGGCAUAGGCCCUAACAUACCCGAAGGAAUAAGAAAAUAAAGGAUCAUGUAUGGUCUCUUUCAUAAAACGUGUUGCAUGUGGUUUUCUUUCAGAAUCAUUGCAGCAGAAAUAAAGAACACAAGGCGAAAAUAACAAUGGUUUAACGCCGUUAUAGUUCUCAUCUUUAAAGUCUAACACAUAGUGGUGGUUCAGAAUCAGAAUCACAUUAUAGUGGUGGUUCAGAAUCAGAAUCACAUUAUAGUGGUGGUUCAGAAUCAGAAUCACAUUAUAGUGGUGGUUCAGAAUCAGAAUCACAUUAUAGUGGUGGUUCAGAAUCAGAAUCACAUUAUAGUGGUGGUUCAGAAUCAGAAUCAACACAUUAUAGUGGUGGUUCAGAAUCAGAAUCAACACAUUAUAGUGGUUGUUCAGAAUCAGAAUCACAUUAUAGUGGUGGUUCAGAAUCAGAAUCACAUUAUAGCGGUGGUUCAGAAUCAGAAUCACAUUAUAGUGGUGGUUCAGAAUCAGAAUCACAUUAUAGU